AUUUUUUUAGUUUAUAAUGGUUUUAUGAAAAUAUUAGCAUGGAUAUUAUUUUUUAUGACAAACUGCUAAUCUAUUAAUCAACAUGCAUGUUGCAUGUUAAAUUUCCCUUAUAUGUCACCCUUAUUAUCUUUGUUAUAUAUGCCACAUACAAUAAUACUUUUUAGAUCUGGCUUUGAAUUCAUAGUUCUUUAUUUUGUCUCAAAAUAAGGCGUGAGAUUUAUGAUUCUUAUAUUAAGAACCAUGAGAGCAUGUAAGACGCUAUUUGAUUAAGAACCAAGAAUUGUUCUUUACACCAGUGUCGAUCCUAAGAUAGUUACAGGCAGGUUAUAUCUGAAUGGCACUUCUGCGGCACGUAUUUACUUUGACUCUGAGACAGCUGCAAGAAAACAGGUGUUUGACAGCAGUGGCGGAGCUAAAAAAAAUUUCAACCGGGCCUGCAUUUCACUAGCAUUGCUCAUAGACGGUGCCUCAUCUCUUGACGAAGUAGUGGUUCGUGCUGCAUCCAUUGGAGGUCCUCCAUGGUGAGCAUAGCCACCAUAGAAAUUAUGCGGGACAUUAGCUCCUGGAGGUCUGAAGUUGUGUCUUGGAGUCCAGUCUUUGCUCUCUCUCGCUGAUUCCAUCUUUGAGCGUUUGAAGAGCUUGGCGGUUAAAUCUCUGGACAUUGUAAAGCUCGACGAUUUUGUCGUAGUUCUCACCCCACCACCGCUGAGCUUGCCACUUGUCGAAAAUCUCCCGGCUUUCCGAACAUGACACAAGUAAUGCGGAUCCGUUUAAGAUCAUUUCCUCCGGUGGGAAGCGAAGCGAAUGUGAUAUGGACACCUGGUUCUACUUGAGCCAUCCACUCUUUAGGCCCUUCUUCAUCUAGUGCCACAUCACAAGACUGAGCAGAUAUAGAUUCCCU